rnacentral:rRNA from 1 species
AGCCUGAUGCAGCCAUGCCGCGUGUAUGAGGAAGGCCUUCGGGUUGUAAAGUACUUUCAGCGGGGAGGAAGGGAGUAAAGUUAAUACCUUUGCUCAUUGACGUUACCCGCAGAAGAAGCACCGGCUAACUCCGUGCCAGCAGCCGCGGUAAUACGGAGGGUGCAAGCGUUAAUCGGAAUUACUGGGCGUAAAGCGCACGCAGGCGGUUUGUUAAGUCAGAUGUGAAAUCCCCGGGCUCAACCUGGGAACUGCAUCUGAUACUGGCAAGCUUGAGUCUCGUAGAGGGGGGUAGAAUUCCAGGUGUAGCGGUGAAAUGCGUAGAGAUCUGGAGGAAUACCGGUGGCGAAGGCGGCCCCCUGGACGAAGACUGACGCUCAGGUGCGAAAGCGUGGGGAGCCAAAAGGAUUAGAUACCCUGGUAGUCCACGCCGUAAACGAUGUCGACUUGGAGGUUGUGCCCUUGAGGCGUGGCUUCCGAGCUAGCGCGUAAGUCGACCGCCUGGGGAGUACGGCGCAAGGUUAAACUCAAAUGAAUUGACGGGGG